rnacentral:tRNA from 1 species
CCUGCUGCUGGCCGGCGGGCGGGUCGCCGACCUCCUGGGCCGCCGCCGGGUACUGGUCGCCGGGCUCGGGCUGUUCGCGGCGGCCUCGCUGGC